GCCAAAGUAGCUCAGUUGGUUAAGCGUUAAAUUGAAGAUCUAAAGGUCCCUGGUUCAAUCCUGGGCUUUGGCG